rnacentral:rRNA from 1 species
UAACGUAGGGGGCUAGCGUUGUCCGGAUUUAUUGGCGUAAAGCGCGCGCAGGCGGUUCUCCAAGUCAGUGGUGAAAGCCCCGGAGCUCAACUCCGGAAUUAGCCAUUGAAACUGUUGAACUCGAGGACGAGAGAGGUGAGUGGAAUUCCCAGUGUAGAGGUGAAAUUCGUAGAUAUUGGGAAGAACACCGGUGGCGAAGGCGGCUCACUGGCUCGUUUCUGACGCUCAGGCGCGACAGCGUGGGGAUCAAACAGG